ACUGAAGAUAUACUACCAUUGCUGUCCCAACUAUCCUAGUGGAUGAAUCGAAAGGAAUAACCGAAAACUUUCAUACAAAGGCUUUAAUUGGUGUUGCCAUUAAAAGUUAUUCCGGUAAGCAGCCAAACCAAGAAUUUUUAGUGCAGGUUGCGCUCAUCACAUUGCAUUAAUUUCUAUAUGUUGUAGAAUAACCUAAGAUCGAUCAGUUGCUUCAUGAAUUAAUAGAUAUAGAAUUCAGAAGACUCUGUGUGGAAGUUGGAAAUCAGGUGACAAGGCAAUAAAGAGAAUUGAUCAAAUUGAGACCUCCUAACUUUCGAGAAUGAGCAAAUUGAAGCCAUUCCCCAACUGCUGCCACAAUUUCAGAAAUAUUCAUAAUCAUACUCUUCAACGAGCAUGACAGACGGGCCUUGCUGAAGGAUGGUUAGAUUUAGACUAACUUUUAAGGAUGGUUAGAUUUGAAGGAUUUGAAACUGGAAACCUUAUAGGAGUGAUUACUCAGAUUUGAAUUGAUUAUGCCUAUAUUUUGUGCUUGCUGUGGAGUUUUUGUUGUUAAUCUGCUAUUCUACACUAAGCCCGCUGUUGAGUUUCUUCUUUGAUGAUGCUGAAACUAGUUGAACUGAAUCAAGAAUUGAUAGAAACUUUUGAGAAACA